rnacentral:tRNA from 1 species
GCGCGAGUGGUGGAAUGGUAGACACGCUAGCUUCAGGUGCUAGUGCCUGCAAAGGUGUGGAGGUUCAAGUCCUCUCUCGCGUACCA